GCGGAAAAAUGUAAUCUCAGUUAAUUUGAGGUUUCUUCCUGCCCUGGCAUUGUAUUUAAAUUCAGGGGAACUGGAUGUCUCAUGGGUUUUUCUACUUUUUAAUAUAAUCUGGUUAUAUGGGCAUUGGGUAAGAUAUCUGCCGCCUGAUUUGAUCCUUCCUCAUUGGCCCAAGCAUGUCACCACGGAGACUUCCUUGUUCGUGUCUAUAUGGUUCAUACAUGGCCUUCCCCUUAAUUAAAGAUGUCUUCCGAGGAACAUUUUGUCUAAGCCUGAUUGAACCCCAACCAGAGGCUGAGGCAGGAGAAUCACUUGAACCCAAGAGGCAGAGGUUGCAGUGAGCCGAGAUUGCACCAUUGCACUCCAGCCUGGGCAACAAGAGCAAAACUCCAUCUCAAAAAAAAAAAGAAAAGAAAAACUAGAACCUCAUUUAUUACUACUGAGAACUGUAGAACUGCAAAGUGGUUCUAAAGUUGUAGAACCACUUUAGAAAAAAUUGGGCGAUUUCUUGUAAAG
rnacentral:lncRNA from 1 species